rnacentral:rRNA from 1 species
ACUUUCAACAACGGAUCUCUUGGUUCUGGCAUCGAUGAAGAACGCAGCGAAAUGCGAUAAGUAAUGUGAAUUGCAGAAUUCAG